rnacentral:rRNA from 1 species
UACGGAGGGGGCUAGCGUUGUUCGGAAUUACUGGGCGUAAAGCGCACGUAGGCGGCUUUGUAAGUUAGAGGUGAAAGCCCGGGGCUCAACUCCGGAACUGCCUUUAAGACUGCAUCGCUAGAAUUGUGGAGAGGUGAGUGGAAUUCCGAGUGUAGAGGUGAAAUUCGUAGAUAUUCGGAAGAACACCAGGUGGCGAAGGCGAGUCCCCUGGACAACUCCUGACACUGAUGCACGAAAGCUAGGGGAGCAAACAGG